AUUGAACGCUGGCGGCAGGCUUAACACAUGCAAGUCGAGCGGAGAUGAGGUGCUUGCACCUUAUCUUAGCGGCGGACGGGUGAGUAAUGCUUAGGAAUCUGCCUAUUAGUGGGGGACAACAUUCCGAAAGGAAUGCUAAUACCGCAUACGUCCUACGGGAGAAAGCAGGGGAUCUUCGGACCUUGCGCUAAUAGAUGAGCCUAAGUCGGAUUAGCUAGUUGGUGGGGUAAAGGCCUACCAAGGCGACGAUCUGUAGCGGGUCUGAGAGGAUGAUCCGCCACACUGGGACUGAGACACGGCCCAGACUCCUACGGGAGGCAGCAGUGGGGAAUAUUGGACAAUGGGGGGAACCCUGAUCCAGCCAUGCCGCGUGUGUGAAGAAGGCCUUAUGGUUGUAAAGCACUUUAAGCGAGGAGGAGGCUACUGAGACUAAUACUCUUGGAUAGUGGAUGUUACUCGCAGAAUAAGCACCGGCUAACACUGUGCCAGCCGCCGCAGUAA
rnacentral:rRNA from 1 species